UGGAUUGAUGAUGACCACUGGUGGCGUAUGUUAGAAGUCGUUUACAGUAAAGACGUAUCUGGAACUCUGAGGUCCAA